UACGGAGGGCGCGAGCGUUAAUCGGAAUUACUGGGCGUAAAGCGCGCGUAGGCUGUUGUGUAAGUUGGGGGUGAAAUCCCACGGCUCAACCGUGGAACAGCCCUUGAUACUGCGCGACUUGAAUCCGGGAGAGGGUGGCGGAAUUCCAGGUGUAGGAGUGAAAUCCGUAGAUAUCUGGAGGAACAUCAGUGGCGAAGGCGGCCACCUGGACCGGCAUUGACGCUGAGGCGCGAAAGCGUGGGGAGCAAACAGG
rnacentral:rRNA from 1 species